rnacentral:lncRNA from 1 species
CAAUCUCACAUGAUCUCACAUCCUGAUAUCAUGACCUGAGCAGAAAUCGGGAAUUGGAUACUUAACCGACUGAGCCACCCAGGCACCCUCUCAGAUUUUAUUCUAUAAGGAAUCAUUUGGGAGAGGUGGUAAAAAUAAAUGAGAACAUGUUUGUCAUUAAAAGCAAAAGACUGAACUAUUGCAGUUACUUUCUAAAAUCACUUUUUUUUCUAUAGGAAGAUUUUGGAUAAAUCAUUAUCAAGGAAGCUAAGGACACCUGGGUUGUAUUGAAAGCACACCAGCCAUGAAAUCAGAAGGCCAGAAUUUGAAUUCCAGUUACUCACAAAUGAUUUAUUCCUCAUAUGAGAGGAAGUAUUAACUCAGAAGGAACUCUUCACACCACCUACCGUGAUUCUGGGCACAUAUCAUACCACCAGUGUUUGCUAACUGAUGGACAGAUUGAUCAUAAGCACACAUUCCAUCACCUCUUAUUGAGUGGUGUUUUUCAAAAAGUGCUGGGAGGAUCCUUUGCGCCAGAAUCUUCUUGGGUGUUUUCUAAAAUGCAUGUGCUUGACCCCCACCACGCACUGGCUAUUUCAGAAUUUCUGAGAGUGUAACUGUGGCAGCUGCCUUGUAGUGGAUAGAUGAUGGCCACAAACUGGCAUUUCUGCCAUCAAGAGACGGGGUCUAUUUCUCCCCUCCUUGAAAUUGGCCCAUGGCUGCUGUGAACAAUGAGCUGAACCUCUGCCAGUUCCAGGCCCAACCUUGGUCUCUGGAAGGCCUGGACUAUGUGGAGGGACCCUAAGACUACGUGAAGAGGGGAAAGAGCCUGCUGAGCCAGCUCUCCACUCAUCCCCUCCAAUUUGCCCAGAAUGUGGGUGAAGCUCUUCAGGACCCUCCGGAUGAGACCAGACACCAGCUGAAAACCAAUGGAUGACCCCAGGUGAUCACCUAGAGCAGAAGAAUCAACCAGUUGAUCCUUCCCAGAGUUCCUAACCCACAAAAAUGAAAUGGAAUAAGUUGGCUGUUGCUUUAAAUCGCUGAGUUUUGUGAUAACUUGUCACAUGGUGAUAGAGAAUAAGAAUAUGCAGAUGUCACACAUUCUCCAGGUUUUUCUGAUGUAUCCUAGAAUUUGAGUCACUGUUGUAAAGGGAUCUGAGAUUUAAUGAGUAAAAUUUUAUAUUAAAGAUGAGAAAAUAUAAUUCACUUCACAAUUUGUUAUUUAUAUAUCCUAAGGGAAGAAUAUAUGGCAAAAUAAAAUCUCAUCAUUUAUGUUGAACUCA